GUGCACAUUUCAUUAAUCUGCUUUCUCUCAUAUAUGUGAGCAGUGUUAUUUUUAUGUGCUAUACAAGUAAUUGAAGCUUAAUUAUCAGUAUAAAUAGUAAUGUUAUCAGUCUCCUUUAGACAAAU